rnacentral:rRNA from 1 species
UACAGAGGUGGCAAGCGUUGUUCGGAAUUACUGGGCGUAAAGGGCGCGUAGGCGGUCUUGUAAGUCUUGUGUGAAAUCCCUCGGCUUAACUGAGGAACUGCACGGGAUACUGCGAGACUUGAGUUCGGGAGAGGGAAGCGGAAUUCCCGGUGUAGCGGUGAAAUGCGCAGAUAUCGGGAGGAACACCGGUGGCGAAGGCGGUUCUCUGGGCCUUACCUGACGCUGAGGAGCGAAAGCGUGGGGAGCGAACAGG